GACUGGGCAUAGGGCAUGGCGGGCAUAUGCCCGGUGGCCUGAAGCCUUUUAUUUAUUUUUUUAUUCAUGCCAAACUCGCGUCUAACGUAGCAGGCCACGUUAACUUCAAUGCAGGCCACAUUAACGUCAAUUCAAGUUAAUGCAAGUUAAACUGGCAGAUCUGCCCUUUAUCAUGAUUGAUUGAAGCCUGGGCCAAUGAGGUGAGGGGCAGGCCAAUUUCGCCUACCCCUCCAUCUCAGCCUCCGUUGGUGACUUGGUUGGUUAGCCACUGCUAGCAGGCAGAUCGAAAACGGGCAAUAUGGACCCUAGUUGGAAGAAAAGAAAGGGUGGCGCUGAAAGAGCCAGGGACCAGAAAAAAGCAGCCCUUCAGGCAGAUGCUACGAAAUGCCUAAACAUAGCUGAUAUGUUUGCUGCUCGUGGACAUGGAGCCUCCACAUCUGCAGCAGCAGCAUCAACAGGUAGUGGAGGAGAAGAUGCUCGACAGCAGGUGGACGAGGCGGCCAUGACGGUUCCCAUGCUUAAGGAGUGCUGGGUGUUGCUGCUGAGAAGAGGCAGAUGGGGUAGCAUCAGCAUCUCUCCCACUUGUUGGAUUGUGUGUGUGUGUGUGUGUGUGUGUGUGUGUGUGUGUGUGUGUGUGUGUGUGUGUGUGUGUGUGUGUGUGUGUGUG